rnacentral:rRNA from 1 species
GCGAAUUCGCCCUUCCGGUUGAUCCUGCCAGAGGUUACUGCUAUCGAGGUUCGACUAAGCCAUGCGAGUCGAAUGUAGCAAUACAUGGCGUACUGCUCAGUAACACGUGGACAACCUACCCUCCGGACGGGUAUAAACCCGGGAAACUGGGUAUAAUCCCCGAUAGAUCUCGGUCGCUGGAAUGCCCCGAGAUCGAAAGCUCCGGCGCCAGAGGAUGGGUCUGCGGCCUAUCAGGUAGUAGUGGGUGUAGCGUACCUACUAGCCUACGACGGGUACGGGUUGUGAGAGCAAGAGCCCGGAGAUGGAUUCUGAGACACGAAUCCAGGCCCUACGGGGUGCAGCAGGCGCGAAAACUUUACAAUGCCGGCAACGGCGAUAAGGGGACCUCGAGUGCCAGGUUACAAAUCUGGCUGUCGUGAUGCCUAAAAAGCAUUGCAUAGCAAGGGCCGGGCAAGACCGGUGCCAGCCGCCGCGGUAACACCGGCGGCUCGAGUGGUAACCGUUAUUAUUGGGUCUAAAGGGUCUGUAGCCGGCCGGAUAAGUCUCUUGAGAAAUCCAGCAGCUCAACUGUUGGGCUUUCAGGAGAUACUGUUCGGCUCGAGGCCGGGAGAGGUGAGAGGUACUUCAGGGGUAGGGGUGAAAUCUUGUAAUCCUUGAAGGACCACCAGUGGCGAAGGCGUCUCACCAGAACGGACCUGACGGCAAGGGACGAAAGCUAGGGGCACGAACCGGAUUAGAUACCCGGGUAGUCC